rnacentral:rRNA from 1 species
GGCCAAGUUUUUAAGGGCGCACGGUGGAUGCCUUGGUACCAGGAACCGAUGAAGGACGUGGGAGGCCGCGAUAGUCCCCGGGGAGUUGUCAACCGAGCUGUGAUCCGGGGGUUUCCGAAUGGGGGAACCCGGCAGUCGUUAUGGGCUGUCACCUGCCGCUGAAUGUAUAGGCGGUGUGGAGGGAACGCGGGGAAGUGAAACAUCUCAGUACCCGUAGGAAGAGAAAACAACCGUGAUUCCGGGAGUAGUGGUGAGCGAAACCGGAGGAGGCUAAACCGUUUGUGUGUGAUACCCGGCAGGGGUUGCGCAGGCGGGGUUGUGGGAGUUCCUUGUGAUCGUUCUGCCGGACGGUCGGCGAGUGAGAAAUCGUGGGUGUAGGCGAAGGGCAUGCGAAAGGCCUGGCGUAGAGGGUAAGACCCCCGUAGCUGAAAUGUCUGCGACUCGUUGAGGGGCCACCCAAGUAGCACGGGGCCCGAGAAAUCCUGUGUGAAUCUGGCGGGACCACCCGUUAAGCCUAAAUAUUCCCUGGUGACCGAUAGUGGAUAGUACCGUGAGGGAAUGGUGAAAAGUACCGCGGGAGCGGAGUGAAAGAGUACCUGAAACCGUGUGCCUACAAGCCGUGGGAGCGUCGCAGCGAGUGCUUUGUGUGCUUGUUGUCGUGACUGCGUGCCUUUUGAAGAAUGAGCCUGCGAGUUUGCGGUGUGUUGCGAGGUUAACCUGUUGGUGGGGAGCCGUAGCGAAAGCGAGUCCGAAGAGGGCGUUUGAGUAGCAUGCCCUAGACCCGAAGCGGGGUGAUCUAGCCAUGGGCAGGGUGAAGCGUGGGUAAGACUGCGUGGAGGCCCGAACCCACCAGAGUUGAAAAUCUGGGGGAUGACCUGUGGUUAGGGGUGAAAGGCCAAUCAGACUCCGUGAUAGCUGGUUCUCCCCGAAAUGCAUUUAGGUGCAGCGUCGUGUGUUGCUUGUCGGAGGUAGAGCACUGGGUAGGUGAUGGGCCUUACCGGGUUACUGACCUUAGCCAAACUCCGAAUGCCGGCAAGUUGAGCGCGGCAGUGAGACUGUGGGGGAUAAGCUCCAUGGUCGAGAGGGAAACAGCCCAGAGCAUCGACUAAGGCCCCUAAGCGUGUGCUAAGUGGGAAAGGAUGUGGAGUCGCAGAGACAGCCAGGAGGUUGGCUUAGAAGCAGCCAUCCUUGAAAGAGUGCGUAAUAGCUCACUGGUCGAGUGAUUCUGCGCCGAUAAUGUAGCGGGGCUCAAGUACACCGCCGAAGUCGUGUCGCCACA